CCUACGGGAGGCAGCAGUGAGGAAUAUUGGUCAAUGGGCGUAAGCCUGAACCAGCCAAGUCGCGUGCGGGAUGAAGGUUCUAUGGAUCGUAAACCUCUUUUAUAAGGGAAUAAAGUGCGGGACGUGUCCCGUUUUGUAUGUACCUUAUGAAUAAGGAUCGGCUAACUCCGUGCCAGCAGCCGCGGUAAUACGGAGGAUCCGAGCGUUAUCCGGAUUUAUUGGGUUUAAAGGGUGCGUAGGCGGCCUUUUAAGUCAGCGGGGAAAGUCGGUGGCUCAACCAGGGAAUUGCCGUUGAAACUGGGAGGCUUGAGUAUGUUUGAGGCAGGCGGAAUGCGUGGUGUAGCGGUGAAAUGCUUAGAUAUCACGCAGAACCCCGAUUGCGAAGGCAGCCUGCCAAGCCAUGACUGACGCUGAUGCACGAAAGCGUGGGGAUCAAACAGGAUUAGAUACCCCUGUAGUC
rnacentral:rRNA from 1 species